AUGAGACCUUUAGUUGCAGGAGAAUCUAGAACAAAAAAAGAAAGAACAACUGGAAUCAAAUGGAAAUAUCAAUCAAAUACAUCAUAAAUCAACUAGACAAUGAACUCUAAAUUUAUCAACUAGACAAUGAACUCUAAAUUAACUAAAUCUUCACUAAUUUCACCAGAUCAAGCAACAAAUACAGUAAAUAUCUCUUUAAAUAUCUAACUUUAAGAUACAAUCAAAUGGGAAAAAAGUUAUAACUAAAACAUGACAGUCCGUGAAAAAUAAUAGAAAACCAAAACCCCAGAACGUCCAAAAACAAGAGCAUAAAUGCCAAAAUACAUAAACAAACAGUAUCAAAACAUAUCCUUUCAAAAAAUCAACUUCAAUCACCAAAACCCCAAAUCAAAAUUCCCAAAACAAGAGCAUUUACCAGAGAAAUACAAGUUAUCGUACAGAAGAACGCAAAUCUAGGGCUCCAAUCCUUUUCCCAAUAACUCGAGUAAAUGCUGAUUAUCAAGAGUUUUUAAAUAGGAAUUCAUUGAAUAGAGAGAAAUCGAAGUUCCAUUCAGUAGAUUACUAGUUUCUCUCUCUAAUUGUGAUCUGCAACCAAAGCUGGGGCUCCAAUGGUGAUUGAUACUAGUGAUUAUAGUUCUGCUGCUGUUCUUCUUCCACUUAUUAUUUGUUGCUUUUUCCUUUUAAUCAUUUUCU
rnacentral:lncRNA from 1 species